rnacentral:tRNA from 1 species
GCCCCGAUAGCUCAGUGGAUAGAGCGUUCGCCUCCGGAGCGAAAGGCCGCAGGUUCGAAUCCUGUUCGGGGCACCA